UACGUAGGGCGCAAGCGUUGUCCGGAAUCAUUGGGCGUAAAGAGCGUGUAGGCGGCUUGGUAAGUCCGCUGUGAAAGUCCAGGGCUCAACCCUGGAAUGCCGGUGGAAACUGUCAAGCUUGAGUCCGGAAGAGGCGAGUGGAAUUCCUGGUGUAGCGGUGAAAUGCGCAGAUAUCAGGAGGAACACCAAUGGCGAAGGCAGCUCGCUGGGACGGUAGCUGACGCUGAGACGCGAAAGCGUGGGGAGCAAACAGGG
rnacentral:rRNA from 1 species